UACGUAGGGCGCAAGCGUUGUCCGGAAUUAUUGGGCGUAAAGGGCUCGUAGGCGGUUUGUCGCGUCGGGAGUGAAAUCCACUGGCUUAACUGGUGGCUUGCUUUCGAUACGGGCAGACUGGAGGUAUGCAGGGGAGAACGGAAUUCCUGGUGUAGCGGUGAAAUGCGUAGAUAUCUGGAGGAACACCGGUGGCGAAGGCGGCAUCCUGGACCGACACUGACGCUGAGGAGCGAGAGCCAGGGGAGCAAACGGG
rnacentral:rRNA from 1 species